CAUGCCAUAGAAGGUGAAGUACAAGAGAGUGAAAUACAUGAUGAAGAGGUACCAAAAGAACUUGGCAACAGUCCAUUCGAAUCCGAUCAUUGCAUAAACAAUUAUACCAUAGAAAGCUGCUUGUACAAAUACAUAAGGUAUUUCAACGAUAACCUGUCCAAAGGCAUAAGGUAAAGCAGAAUACAUUCCAGCAGCUCUUUCUCUGUAAAAUACAGUACGCUCAACGGCUACAACAGGCUGGACUGAUGAUGAAUUUUGUACACCAAGGAAGAGAGUUGCAGCAUACAUAGAUCCCAUGGCAUUAAAUAGAUCCUGGCUCUGAC